rnacentral:misc_RNA from 1 species
CACACGUCCUUGUGAUGAUGCGGGCUUGGAUUUGGAGGCUUGCUGGCCCUUGUGGGUCAGCUCCUCUUGAAUGCAUUAGCUUGAUUCCGUGCGGAUCGGCUCUCAGUGUGAUAAUUGUCUACGCUGUGACCGUGAAGCGUCUGGCGAGCUUCUAACCGUCCCAUACGGGACAACAAACCUUGACAUC